rnacentral:rRNA from 1 species
UGCAAGUCGAGCGAACAGAAGGGAGCUUGCUCCCGGAUGUUAGCGGCGGACGGGUGAGUAACACGUGGGUAACCUGCCUGUAAGACUGGGAUAACUCCGGGAAACCGGAGCUAAUACCGGAUAGUUCCUUGAACCGCAUGGUUCAAGGAUGAAAGACGGUUUCGGCUGUCACUUACAGAUGGACCCGCGGCGCAUUAGCUAGUUGGUGGGGUAAUGGCUCACCAAGGCGACGAUGCGUAGCCGACCUGAGAGGGUGAUCGGCCACACUGGGACUGAGACACGGCCCAGACUCCUACGGGAGGCAGCAGUAGGGAAUCUUCCGCAAUGGACGAAAGUCUGACGGAGCAACGCCGCGUGAGUGAUGAAGGUUUUCGGAUCGUAAAGCUCUGUUGUUAGGGAAGAACAAGUGCGAGAGUAACUGCUCGCACCUUGACGGUACCUAACCAGAAAGCCACGGCUAACUACGUGCCAGCAGCCGCGGUAAUACGUAGGUGGCAAGCGUUGUCCGGAAUUAUUGGGCGUAAAGGGCUCGCAGGCGGUUUCUUAAGUCUGAUGUGAAAGCCCCCGGCUCAACCGGGGAGGGUCAUUGGAAACUGGGAAACUUGAGUGCAGAAGAGGAGAGUGGAAUUCCACGUGUAGCGGUGAAAUGCGUAGAGAUGUGGAGGAACACCAGUGGCGAAGGCGACUCUCUGGUCUGUAACUGACGCUGAGGAGCGAAAGCGUGGGGAGCGAACAGGAUUAGAUACCCUGGUAGUCCACGCCGUAAACGAUGAGUGCUAAGUGUUAGGGGGUUUCCGCCCCUUAGUGCUGCAGCUAACGCAU